GCGCGCGUAGCUCAGUUGGUUUAGAGCGACCGAUUGACGUUCGGUAGGUCCCUGGUUCGAGUCCAGGCGCGCGCACCA
rnacentral:tRNA from 3 species